UCAACGCGGGGGGCGCCGCCCCGGGUCGGGGACGCACGGACCCUGGCGGGAGGCGUGCGCCAACAGGCCCCUGAAGAGGCGGCCUGGGAAGGCGGAGGGUGGGAGGAACCAGAGGGCGGGCGGACCCCCACCCCGGGGCUGGUGAGAGCAGAGCGUCCAGGGCAGAGGGGUCCUUCCCUUUUAUCCCACACGUCAGGGCAGGGCUCACGGCCUGAGCAGAAGGCUGUCAUCAAAGUAAGAGCGGCCACUUCUCCCUCAGCACGUUUGGAAACACACCCUCCCCUCCGGCUGCUCCCAAAACAUCCCAUUUCAGGGGUAACACGUAGGGAACCCCGGUCACUAGGGUCCUGGGGUUCCUGCUAUAAAUGACCGCACAUGGCGGGGGAGGGGCUGGAAACAACAGAAAUCUGUCCUUUCCCACCUCUGGAGAUGGGAGGAAGUCUGAGAUCCAGGCAGGCAGGGCCGCUGAGAUCCAUGCAGGGCAGGGCCGCUGAGAUCAAGGAGGGGCAGGACCACUGAGAUCCAGGCAGGGCCGGGCCACUGAGGUCCAGGUGGGACAGGUCCGCUGAGAUCCAGGCAGGGCAGGACCGCUGAGACCCAGGAGGGGCAGGGCCACUGAGAUCCAAGUGGGCAGGGCUGUGCUCCCUCCAGAGGCUCCAGGGCAGGGUCCUUCCCGCCUCUUCCACCUUCUAGGGCUCCAGGUGUCCCUGGACCUGUGGCCACGUGCUUCGUGUCUCAGCCUCUGUCUCCAUGUGGCUUCUCCUGUGUGUUUCUGCCCCAAUUUCCUGUCUCUAUAAGGACAGUAGUCAUGGGAUCAGGGCCCAUCGUAUUCCACUGGGGCCUCGUCUUGACGUGAUCAUUUCUGCAGACUCUCUGUUGUGGACUCAAAUGUGUCCCCGCGAAUUUAUAUGUUGAAGUCCUCACCUCCCUCCCCCCCCCCCCAGGACCUGAGAAUGUGGUUGUACCUGGAGGUGGGGUCUUUGAGGAGAGGAUUAAGGUAAAACCAGGUCAGUGGGGUGGGCCCUGACCCCAUAGGACUGGGGUCCUUCCAAGAAGAGAAGUUGAGGGCACAGACACGCGCAGAGGGACGGCCAGAGUGCGACCUCGGGAAGGACACGCACUUCCGAGACUGGCUGACCUGCGCUCUGAUCCCGCUGGGCGCGCUGCUGGCCCUGGGGCUGGGGGUCGCGCUGUGCCGCAGGUGAGCGCGCCGCCCCCUGAGCCCCCGCCCCAACC